CUGGAUAACCUUAAUGAUUUCUUUUCUAUGAGCUAUUCCGCUGAGUCAGCUUUGACCUGGCUGGGUGCUCACCUGCAUUAUUCCAGAUGUGACCAUGGAAAUUCCACAGGGAAAGCAACCCUAGGGAAGAAGGUCUUGCUGGCUUCAUGUCUAAAAACAAAAUAAAAAUCAAGUAAGAUUCCUCGAGUUUUUCUUUUGCACUAAGGUCU
rnacentral:lncRNA from 1 species